AUUGAACGCUGGCGGCAGGCCUAACACAUGCAAGUCGAGCGGUAGAGAGAAGCUUGCUUCUCUUGAGAGCGGCGGACGGGUGAGUAAUGCCUAGGAAUCUGCCUGGUAGUGGGGGAUAACGUUCGGAAACGGACGCUAAUACCGCAUACGUCCUACGGGAGAAAGCAGGGGACCUUCGGGUCUUGCGCUAUCAGCUGAGCCUAGGUCGGAUUAGCUAGUUGGUGGGGUAAUGGCUCACCAAGGCGACGAUCCGUAACUGGUCUGAGAGGAUGAUCAGUCACACUGGAACUGAGACACGGUCCAGACUCCUACGGGAGGCAGCAGUGGGGAAUAUUGGACAAUGGGCGAAAGCCUGAUCCAGCCAUGCCGCGUGUGUGAAGAAGGUCUUCGGAUUGUAAAGCACUUUAAGCUGGGAGGAAGGGCAGUAAAUUAAUACUUUGCUGUUUUGACGUUACCGACAGAAUAAGCACCGGCUAACUCUGUGCCAGCCGCCGCAGUAA
rnacentral:rRNA from 1 species